AGGAGAAUUUUAUUUUCGGAUAAAUAGUAAACUGGCGAACGGGUGAGUAACGCGUAAAUAACUUGCCUCAGAGAUUGGGACAACAUUGGGAAACCAGUGCUAAUACCAAAUAAUGCAGCGGGCCCUUCGGGGUAUUUGUUGUUAAAAUGGGCUUCGGCUCACGCUUUGAGAUAGGUUUGCGUCCGAUUAGUUAGUUGGUAGGGUAAUUGCCUACCAAGGCGAAGAUCGGUAGCUGGUCUGAGAGGAUGAUCAGCCACACUGGAAUUGAGAUACGGUCCAGACUCCUACGGGAGGCAGCAGUAAGGAAUUUUGCACAAUGGGCGAAAGCCUGAUGCAGCAACGCCGCGUGAUUGAUGAAGUUUUUAGGAAUGUAAAAAUCUGUCGUAAGGGAAGAAAUGUUUCAGAUAUUAAUACUAUCUGUUAUUGACGGUACCUUACAAGAAAGCACCGGCUAACUUCGUGCCAGCAGCCGCGGUAAUACGAGGGGUGCUAGCGUUGUCCGGAUUUACUGGGCGUAAAGGGUACGUAGGCGUUUUAACAAGUUAUGUGUUAAAUACUUUAGCUUAACUAAAGAACUGCACAUAAAACUGUUAGAAUAGAGUUUGAGAGAGGAACGCAGAAUUCAUGGUGGAGCGGUGACAUGCGUAGAUAUCAUGAGGAAAGUCAAAUGCGAAGGCAGCCUUCUGGCUCAAAACUGACGCUGAGGUACGAAAGCGUGGGGAGCGAACAGGAUUAGAUACCCUGGUAGUCCACGCCGUAAACGAUGAGUACUUGGUGCUGGAAGAUUCGACCCUUUCAGUGCCGUAGCUAACGCGAUAAGUACUCCGCCUGGGGACUACGAUCGCAAGAUUGAAACUC
rnacentral:rRNA from 1 species